rnacentral:misc_RNA from 1 species
GGGUUACAUUUACUCAAAGCUCAGCAAGUGGACUGAAGCAUACGGUGGCUUCUAUAAGCCAUCGUCGUACUUGGAAGAAAGGGCUACUAAAGGCUUGCCACUGAGCACCCCAAGUUCAGCUCGACCCCAGGCUUCAAGAGCGCGGCUGUGAUCGAAUUAGACUUUGGUGCAGCAUCUAAAAGCAUUCCUGGAGAUUAUUUUCUGGUUAAGUGCAUCCAUUCUUGCAGUAAUGCAAAGGUAUACUGUUGUUCAUGGGUGAGAUGUCUGUUGCAGUAAGAAAAUAAGCUAC